UUUCUUUUGUUCUUCACCCAGUUCUCUGAAUGAAGGAGCUGUCUUGAUGGGUGAGGGCUGUAAAAUUGGGACUUCUUGUACAUUGGCAUGUGAAAGUGUAUCAUAUGUCACUAACCCAGUAAGGAGUUUGGUCAGUUCCUUCACUUCACCUGCUUGGAUCCCUCCUCUUUCCUGCAGGUACCACUUCCAUUUUAAUAAUGUCUGACUUUGUGCCACUGUUGUCUUUGCAGAUAAUCCUUCAUCUCGUACCCAUCCUGCUAUUGGUAAAUCUGUUUUCACUGAUACUAUGCUUUUCUCAGUCAUUGUCUCCACAUGCUGCAGUGCGAGGUAUGCUGCCAGAAGAUUCUUCUCUAAAGGUGUGUACCUUUGCUGAGCCCCAGUCAAUUGCUUGGACCAAAACCCAAUUGGUACUGCCCGCUUGCCUUUGUCUUCGCUCGGUUGCCAUAGUCCCCAUGAUGCUACGUUGUCGUUCACCAUCACAUCCAAU